rnacentral:rRNA from 1 species
UCUUCCCUCUGUCGGCGUGCUUAACACAUGCAAGUCGAACGGAAAGGCCGAAGCUUGCUUCGGUACUCGAGUGGCGAACGGGUGAGUAACACGUGGGUGAUCUGCCCUGUACUUCGGGAUAAGCUUGGGAAACUGGGUCUAAUACCGGAUAUGACAAUCUCUUGGAUGGGGUUGUGGAAAGCUUUUGCGGUAUGGGAUGAGCUCGCGGCCUAUCAGCUUGUUGGUGGGGUAAUGGCCUACCAAGGCGUCGACGGGUAGCCGGCCUGAGAGGGUGUACGGCCACAUUGGGACUGAGAUACGGCCCAGACUCCUACGGGAGGCAGCAGUGGGGAAUAUUGCACAAGGGGCGCAAGCCUGAUGCAGCGACGCCGCGGGGGGGAUGACGGCCUUCGGGUUGUAAACUCCUUUCGCAACCGACGAAGCUUUUUGUGACGGUAGGUUGAGAAGAAGCACCGGCUAACUACGUG